rnacentral:tRNA from 1 species
AAAUGGAAAGUGAAAAAUUACAAUCAGUUUCGACCUGAACCUUGACACAGAGUGUCUCCAUUUA